rnacentral:rRNA from 1 species
AACGAACGCUGGCGGCGUGCUUAACACAUGCAAGUCGAACGAGAAAGCUCUUUCGGGAGCGAGUAAAGUGGCGCACGGGUCAUUAACACGUGGAUAAUCUGCCUUUAGGAGAAGGGCAACCUGUCGAAAGACGGGCUAAUCCUUCAUAAGACCACAGUACCUUCGGGUACAGAGGUAAAAGUGGCCUCUAUUUAUAAGCUAUUGCCUAAAGAUGAGUCCGCGCACCAUUAGCUAGUGGGU